AAUCCCUCCAAUCUGUUUUGUGUGUCUAUGUGUAUCUCCUUAAAGUUGCUAGGCAGCGGCUCGGUAAAAAUGUUACCGCGGCAACGAAUAUGCGGGCCGUAUUGUAUCUAAGAAAAUAUGCUAUUAAUUCUUCCCAGAACUUCUUGUCUCUUCACAGCAUCAAGACUGGCCCUGAAGCCCACCCAACAUCCUCUCCAGUGGGGGUUGUUUUCCCCAGAGAUAAGCCAUUCCUGGAAUGAAGAUGACAAUGCUACAUUUCUGGUUCAACCUUACAGGAGCGACACUAACAAUAAGCGUACCAGCUCACUGAAGUGGAACCCGGAAGAUGUCAUUGCCCUUUGAGGAUUAAAUUGCCAAUAUGCAAUUUUAUUUGACAACGCAAAUUUCAGAUGUCACUUAUAGGAUAAAUUUCCUGGAAGUUACUCGGGAAAUGAGUCCGGUAGCGGCCUUAAGAUUGACUGAUCCCCCGUCCAAGGAGUCUUAACAACUUGGGGAAAGUCGAAAAUUAUCGUAGCUGAGGCCUGGAGCAGUUGGGGGACUCAGAUUUAGGGGAACGUCCGCCGUUGGAAGCCGCUACCCAGCAACAGCUAAGGAAGACUGAGAAGACUUUGUAGUAGUUAUAGUGUGUAACUCAGUCAAUACUGUCGUAGUUAUUUGUAGUUGCGACC